rnacentral:rRNA from 1 species
UACGGGGGGGGGCAAGCGUUGUUCGGAAUUACUGGGCGUAAAGGGCUCGUAGGCGGCCAACUAAAUCAGACGUGAAAUCCCUCGGCUUAACCGGGGAACGGCCUCUGAUACUGGCUGGCUGGAGUUCGGGAGAGGGAUGCGGAAUUCCAGGUGUAGCGGUGAAAUGCGUAGAUAUCUGGAGGAACACCGGUGGCGAAGGCGGCAUCCUGGACCGACACUGACGCUGAGGAGCGAAAGCCAGGGGAGCAAACGGG